GCUGACUGUUUCCCCAUAAUAUAAGAAGGACAAAGAGGGCAACUCCAAGGGUAACAAGGAAAACAGUUUCAAUGCUGAAAAGCCCUCCAACCUCAACAACUUCAAUGGUACCAUUGUAAAAGACACUCUGAUAGGGUUGUUGAUCAAUUUCAUAAACUAUGGUACCUACUAAAUCAAAGGUGCCAGGCUGCAAGUAUUUGCUGACAGCAAAAGCAUAAGCGAACGAAGCCUGAGCAGAUAAAGGCACUGAAGCCUUGAAAUACUCCUGAGUAGUCAGAUUUUGGACGAGCAUACGAUGAUCAUAAGGAAAGUGAAGGCUAGCAGUUAUAGCAAGAACAUUCAACGCUGAUUCACCUUCAUUAUGCACACCAACGAGAAGUUCAGUUUCUUCCCCUGCUGGAACCAAUUUUGCAGCAUUUUUUGGAAAAAUGCACACAGUAUGUACUCCAGGGGCUGCGCUAUAUGUUCCAUCACCAAAUUCUUGGCUAUCAUCACCAACAAUUCCUAAAUCACCUCCUUCAAACAUUUCAGCUACACUUUCAUCUUCUACCGACUGACAUACAACUGUGAGAAUCGGGGCGGCGAUGAGGAGGAGAGCAACGAAGAGCAGGCGAGGUCCCAUGGCGUGAGAGGGGCGACAGAGCGGGCAGAAGGAGAAGAACCAGGGCGGC
rnacentral:misc_RNA from 1 species